CUUGUAACCAAGUUCCACACAAUUUGGCAAGCAUGGGCCGUCAAGCAGAUAUUGUUGACCAUACCUCUGCCAUACGCCCACACCGUCCGUAAACCGAUCGAGCUGCUGCCUGCUGUUGCUGGCACCAGACGUCGAGACCACCACGAUUUGAGGGCAACAUGCUCUGUCCGCAUGCCCUGCUUCCGGGGGAAGGGAACAGAUCAUCGCUGCUGGUGCUGCCUGCCGUGCCGAGACGUGAUAGCUAGCGGCACCAUCGGCCGACAGCCAAACUCUCACGGUUAUUGCUCUCAACUUGUCGACACGACGACACCCUUCUCUGCGAUCUGCUAGUCGUUCUCUCUUCGUCGGUCCGUGUCUCUCUGCCUUUUAUGGGUUGCCCUGUUCUUUAUCGAUGCCUUUUUUUUGCCCAGUAGCUUCAGCAGUCCAGGUGCGUCGUCCUUCCGUUCCGAAGAACAGUUUUACUUAACGCCUCCCGUCCUAUAGUACAGUAGGCACUAGGCAAGCAUGAAGCUAGCAAGAUUGAAUUGCAGUCGCAACUCGCAACCAUAAAAAAAAAGGGCAUCAGGCACUUAGUAGCUAGUAUAGCUAGCUUCGUCGUGAAGUCAGAUUCAGGAAGGAACCGGGUCGAUUCAGGCACUUAGGCCUUGUUUCCAAAAUUUUUUGCAAAACAGGUACUGUAGCACUUUCGUUUGUUUGUGACAAAUAUUGUCCAAUCAUGGACUAACUGGGCUCAAAAGAUUCAUCUCAUCAAUUCCGACCAAACUAUGCAAUUAGUUUUUAUUUUCGUUUAUAUUUAAU
rnacentral:lncRNA from 1 species